GGGGCGGGGGCCGGUCGGGCCCCGGGGGAGGACCGCGGGGAGGUUGCCAGGAGAACCCCUGGAGAACCCCGGGGGAGGACCACGCUCUGGCAUCCCUCCCCUCCCCGCUCUGUGCGCCUCCGCCUCCCUGUCUCGGUUUCUGCAGCUGAGGUUUGGACAUGACAACACUCACUUCAGCGGACUGUCGUGAGGAUUAACUGAGUUCAUGUCUGCAAAGCUACUUGGAACAGUCCCUGGCGCCGAGUCAGGGCUGCAUGGUUCUUUGUUUUUCUUAGUAUUUUCAGAGCCCAUCGUAGCGCCGCUGAAGGCUGCCCAGGGCCCACUCCUCCCUGCUGGGCUCCUGGAAGGGGUCUGCCCACCGCGGCUCUGCAGGCUUGUCCCCACACCUCCUCAGUGCAAGCCACCGAGCCGUCUCAGCUCCCCGCACCCACGAGCAUCCUUCCUCCUGGACACAUGCUGCCUACCACUUCCUUCCUGUGGCUUCCAUCCUGGUGGAACAGCAAGCAUCACUCAUCAGAGGGCAGAAGGAAGGAAGAGUUUAUCCAUCUGGUGUCUCUACCCCUCCCACUUCUGGGUUGUGUAUUGCUAAGUGCCAUGCUCUCAAAUGGGUGGUCUUGAGAAGCAGCUCGUGCUGCUUCAGUGUCCUUGGGUGCCCAACAACAACUUAAAGUGGCUACCAGGUAAUAAUGUGCCUUUAUUCCAAUUUUUCUUCCUUGGCUGCAUGUUUCUCUUCCUUCAUUCUUGCUCCCUAAGACCAUGCUACCUCUCCCCCAGAUUCUGCUUUCUAGGGAAUCCUAGCGGGGCCACUGCUGGAGAAGCUGGGGAGCAAUCCAGAUCUGGUGGUGAUGUUCAGACAAAGAAGCUGCAAACAGGAAACAGAAACCAAGUGAGCCCAGAUGAACUGAGAAUGCUCCGCCUUGCAUUUUAUCUGGUAUAAAUGGAAGUGCAGUACUUAAAUAUUUAUGAAAUGAAUGGAAGGAAGGAAGGAAGGAAGGAAGGGAAGGAAGGAAGGAAGGAAGGAUCAAGUAGUUGAAACAGGUCAAAGUCGAAACCAGCAAAAGAGGAGCAAAAGUAGCACCCAGUCCCUGAGGCUGUCCCUGUUGGCCAGGCAGUCUGCUUCAGCCAUCCUUCAACACUGAUGACUCAGCGCACAAGCACAUAAGCUGACUGGAUCAUAGAAACCCUGAGAACUGAUUUUAACACUUAAAUUCCCCAGGGCCUCAGCAUUUCUGUAUGUAUUAUAGGCAUUUAAUCUAUUCAUUUGAUUCACUUCUGUGUUUAAUGGAUAUUUUUUGAGUACCCACUCUGUGCCAGACAUAAUUCUGAAACAAAUUCCAAGAUGUGUGCUUUCCCCUUGCACCCAAACGUGUACACCAUAGGGCAAUGCCUUAGGCACCAAACCCAUACAGAAGAGCUCCUCUUCUUACUCCAGCAUUUCCCCAGGACUUUCCGCAUCCAUCCUGCCCCUCAUCCCUUCAGCAUCCCUGUGCCUCUGUGGCUGAGGGUGUCAGAGCACAGGUGCCACAGCAGCCUCCUGCCCCAGCCGCUGAGUCCUUAUGCCCCUGAAUGGUGUUACCUGGGCAGGUCCU
rnacentral:lncRNA from 12 species